CUGACAACAAUAUACCAAAACCAUCUUUUAUAUAAACAGUAUUUAAUGGUCACUCAAUAGCUUUCAAAAUAUAUUUUUGUCUUACAGCACUGCACAACCUAUUCUGAAAGUGAUCUGGAGUCAUCAUUCCUGCAAAACAUGCUUUGGAGAGAGGAAACUUGCUUGGGGCAGUUCCAUAAUAUGAAAGUCAUAAUGAGGAGCCACUUCGAGACCUGAUGAAAAUCAGAAAGCACAUUACAAAAGAUCCUAUCUUUGAAGUGAAUGAAAUAACUGGAUGAGACAAUGGUGUGGUAUUUCUCAGGGAGAAGCUGGAGAAGGUAGUCUAUUUAUGAGAGGAAGAGUGUGUAUGAAUAUUACAAAGCCAAAGGGGUAGAAUGUGGUAGAAGCCACUAGUUUUUUACCCAAUAAACUUUCUCCUUUUAUUUCUUAUUAAUGGAAUCCCAAUUUUGUUAAAAUCAGCAAUGUGCUCAAGAGCUGGGGAUAUGGUGACUGAUCAGUUUUCCCUUUUUAUGUUAACUGCAAGAUGGCUUAGAACUAAGUUUGGAGCUCGUCUUUAGCCAGGAAGUCUCUGUGAUGUGCAGUAUUGUAACAGCCCCAUUCCUAGUUACAGCUUAUCUUUCCACUCAUGAUUUCCAUUUUUCUUUUUCACCUAUUUUCAUAAAUACUAUUUUGCUAUACUUACUUAUCCCAUCAAACCACCUUAAAACAUUUAAAAAUCAACCAUGUAGAAAGAGCAGCAAGGAAAGCCAACAGAAAUAAAGAGAAGGAGGAGAGAAAGAGAAAGAGAAGGAAGGAAGGAAGGAAAGAAAGAAGGAAGGAAGGAAAAGAAAAGAAAAGAAAAAGAAAGGAAGGAAAGAAAGAAUGAAAAUAAUGGGAGAAAGAGAGGAAGAAAAUAGAGAAGAGAGGAAGAAAUGAAAAAGAAAGAAAGAAAACGAAAGAGAAAGAAGGAAAGAAAGGAGGAAGGAAGGAAGGGAAAGAGAGAAAGAAAAAGGGUGACAUAAAAAGGGAAGAAGGAAAGAAAGGGAAAGCAAAGGACGUAAAACCUACAGUUUGAAACUUGCAGGUCUAAACCUACAAAAGGAAGAUAAAUGUCAUUACUACUGAUGACUUAAGAAUUACACAACAUGAUUUGUAGAGAAAGGCUAAUAAAAGAUGUAAGGCAUUACAAAGGAAUACAAAGAUAAAAUUAAUUGUCUGAAGUAUGUGCUUGUAGUUCCAAGCUUUUGAAAUAUUCUUUCUCUCAGUUUCUGGUGGCAUGUAGGAAAUACUUUGAUGCAUGAUAGCCUGUAAGCACACCAUCAGGCAAGCUAUUCCAGGGACAACUCCCCCCACCCACAGUGUCACUUGCCAGGUAACCUGAUGAGCAGCUGUGGUUCAUGCCAUUCUCCUGCUUCAGC
rnacentral:lncRNA from 10 species